rnacentral:lncRNA from 1 species
GGCGUUAUAUACUAUGCAAAAAACAUGCUAGUUAAUUAACGUUAUUUGUAAGAUAUAUUUGCGAAAUUAACAUCUAAUUUAUUUACAAUUGCAAAUAAACCUCAAUAUUUUUGCUAUCUAGCUACCAAAAGAAACCUAAUUUUGGCUACCUACCAAAUAAGCCUUAAAUAAUUUAGGGAUCCCUAAAUAAACCUAAUUUAUUCCAAUUCUCUCUAUUUUUUUUUCUUCAGAAAUAAUAAGAUAUUAAUUCCAAAACUUUUUUUUUUUUGUAAAAAGAUAUUUUUUUUUUUGUUUUUUAUUGGGUGAAACAACGUAUUCUAUGUUCUCGAAUGUUAGAAGAAAAAAAAUAUACAAACCAAUGAAUGAGUGACACAUGAUGAUAUUUUCAGUUUCAGAUCAGAUAAGCGAAGACAAACGUGUUCUAUACUUAUAUAUAAUAGAGUAAUAUAUAUAAAAAAAAUUAUUCGCCAAUGGAAUAUAGAUAAAACUAGUUGGAAAUUUAAGUUUCAAUAAAAU